GGUGGCGGGGCCCGGGGCGGCGUUGACCAUGACCCAGCAGGGCGCGGCGCUGCAGAACUACAACAACGAGCUGGUCAAGUGUGAGCGGCGCAGCCGGGACGGGGAGGUCGGGAGGGCCGCAGGGCCGCAGCGGGGUGCCCCUGGACCCGCCUCGCUGCGGGCAUCGCGCGGCUGAGCAGAGCCCUCCGUGCCGGGGGCUGGGUGUCCGUGGCCCGAGCCCUCGCUGUCUCGCAGGCCCCGCGCCGGGCGCUCGGGGGUGGUGCCUGACUCAGGCUUCCUCGGGUGUAAGGAGGCCCGCCCUCCGCCGCCGCGCUCCUACCCUGGGCCCACAGCGCCGCCCCUCCCGGCCCCCAGGCAUAGAGGAGCUGUGCCAGAAGCGGGAGGAGCUGUGCCGGCAGAUCCAGGAGGAGGAGGACGAGAAGCAGCGGCUGCAGAAUGAGAUCCUAGAGAGCUCCCAGACUUUGCUCAGCGUUCUCAAGAGGGAAGCUGGGAACUUGACCAAGGCUACAGCCUCAGACCAGAAAAGUAGCGGUGGCAGGGACAGCUGACCAGACCAC
rnacentral:sRNA from 1 species